rnacentral:rRNA from 1 species
AACGAACGCUGGCGGCAUGCCUAACACAUGCAAGUCGAACGCCCCGCAAGGGGAGUGGCGAACGGGUGAGUAACGCGUGGGAACCUACCCAGCAGCUGGGGAUAACCGCGGGAAACUGCGGCUAAUACCGAAUACGUCCUAAGGGAGAAAGAUUUAUCGCUGUUGGAGGGGCCCGCGUCGGAUUAGCUAGUUGGUGAGGUAACGGCUCACCAAGGCGACGAUCCGUAGCUGGUCUGAGAGGAUGAUCAGGCACACUGGGACUUAGACACGGCCCAGACUCCUACGGGAGGCAGCAGUGGGGAAUAUUGGACAAUGGGGGCAACCCUGAUCCAGCAAUGCCGCGUGAGUGAUGAAGGCCUUAGGGUUGUAAAGCUCUUUUACCGGGGACGAUGAUGACGGUACCCGGAGAAUAAGCCCCGGCUAACUUCGUGCCAGCAGCCGCCGUAA